UUUUUUUCUUCUUCUUAU
rnacentral:sRNA from 1 species